rnacentral:rRNA from 1 species
GGACUACCCGGGUUUCUAAUCCGGUUCGCUCCCCACGCUUUCGCGCCUCAGCGUCAGGUCACCCCCAGCCGGCCGCCUUCGCCACUGGUGUUCCUCCCGAUCUCUACGCAUUUCACCACUACACCGGGAAUUCCACCGGCCUCUGAGUGCCUCCAGCCAGGCAGUCUCCACCGCCCCCUCCCGGUUGAGCCAGGAGAUUUCACGGCAGACUUACCCCGCCACCUGCGCGCCCUUUACGCCCAAUAAAUCCGGACAACGCUCGCCACCUACGUAUUACCGCGGCGGCUGGCAC